rnacentral:rRNA from 1 species
CUACGGGGUGCUGCAGUAGGGAAUCUUGCGCAAUGGACGAAAGUCUGACGCAGCGACACCGUGUGAGGGAUGAAGGUCUUCGGAUUGUAAACCUCUGUCAAUUGGAGACGAAGGUAGUAAGGUUAAGAGCUUUUACUACUGACGGUACCCAAUAAGGAAGUCUCGGCUUACUCCGUGCCAGCAGCCGCGGUAAGACGGGGGAGGCAAGCGUUGUCCGGAAUUAUUGGGCGUAAAGAGCGCGUAGGUGGUUUGUCAAGUCAUUUGUGAAAACUUUAGGCUUAACUUAAAGAUUGCAAGUGAUACUGGCAUACUAGAGCACAGCAGAGGAAAGUGGAAUUCCUGGUGUAGCGGUGAAAUGCGCAGAUAUCAGGAAGAACACCAGUGGCGAAGGCGGCUUUCUGGGCUGUUGCUGACACUGAGGCGCGAAAGCUAGGGGAGCGAACAGGAUUAGAUACCCGCGUAGUC